GAUUAACGCUGGCGGCGUGCUUAACACAUGCAAGUCGAACGAUGUGGCGGCCGGGUGAGUAACGCGUGAGUAACCUGCCUUAUAGAAGGGGAUAGUCUUUGGAAACGAAGAAUAAUACCCUAUACUCUAUGAUGGACUUGCGUCUGCUUAGUUAGUUGGUGAGGUAACGGCCCACCAAGCCAGCGAUCAGUCGCCGGCUUGAGAGAGCGGACGGCCACGGUGGGAGUGAGACACGGCCCAGACUCUACGGGAGGAAGCAGUGAGGAAUGGUGCACAAUGGGGGAAAGCCUGAUGCAGCGAGGCCGCGUGAUUUAGAAGGCCUUCGGGUAGUAAAAAUCUUUUAUAUGGGAAGCGGUACCAUAAGAAUAAGGACCGGCUAAUUACGUGCCAGCAGCCGCGGUAAUUC
rnacentral:rRNA from 1 species